CCCCCCUUUUGGUAUGAACCUCGGGAACUGAGGAUAACACUUGAUAGAAAAUUUUUUCUGGAAUGAGAAAUUUUUUAAAUUCGAGCCUAAGGAUGGGGCUGCGGCUGAUUAGCUAGUUGUUGGUGUAAUAGACUAACAAGGCAAUGAUCAGUAAGGGUUCUUAGCGGAAGAGCCCUGAGAAGGAAUCUGAGACACUAUUCCUAGCUCUACGGGGUGCAGCAGUUAAGGAACUUUUCCAAUGCUCGAAAGAGUGAGAAAAUCAACCAGAGUGUUUUCUUUUAGAAAACUUUUGUCAGCUGCAAAAAGGCUGAUGAAUAAGGACUGGGCAAGACCGGUGCCAGCCGCCGCGGUAAUCCCGGCGGUCCAAGUCGCAUCCACAUUUAUUGGGUCUAAAACAUCCGUAGCUUGUUUUGUAAGUCUCUUGUGAAAUCCCAUCUCUCAAAUUUGGGGCGCGCAAGAGAUACUACAUUGCUAGAGAUCGGAAGACGUAAAGAGAACGAUUGAGGUAGUGGUAAAAUAUGUUAAUCUUGAUCGGACUAACGACGGCGAAGGCACUUUACGAGUACGAAUCUGACAGUGAGGGAUGAAGGCUAGGGGCGCAAAAGGGAUUAGAUACCCCUGUAGUCCUAGCAGUAAACACUGCUCACUAAACAUCAGGACCUCUUCGAGAGGUUUUGGUGCUGUAGCGAAGGCGAAGAGUGAGCUACCUGGGAAGUAUAGUCGCAAGGCCGAAACUUAAAGGAAUUGGCGGGGGAGCAC
rnacentral:rRNA from 1 species